GUAGAGAGAGAGAGAGAGAGAGGGUAGUUAUUACAGAUAAUUAACCAUCUCCCCUCUGGCCAUUAGACUCACCUACUACUGUUUAUACUGCAAGGAAAAAAAAACACAACACGAUAUCAAAGUUAACAAUUCCUGCAUCAUUCUAUUAUGGAUUAUACUGUACAAGUCAACAAAGCAAAAAAAAAAAAAUUCUAUUGUGGUUCAUUUUUAUUCACUAUUUGACAAGAGUAGAAAUAUAUUACCUGUUUGGAUAGUGAUUACGGAUUAACGCGAUGAUCAUUAUUAAUAUGUCAUUUAGUUUUAAAAGAGUUAAGUCGACGGUAAAAACACAAAUUACUAUUGGAACCCAGAUUUUUAUUUUCGAUAUAUAUACAACGAUUCAUCAUUGUAUUAACUUGACAUUAAUUAGGUCAUUUAUUUGUUUUAAUCGUCAAAAAAAUACAAUUAAUAAAGGAUAAUAUUGUCAAUAGUGGAUGGUGUGAUUAGGUAUUUUAUUUUUCAGAUGCAUUAGUGCGUGUACUCUUCACUGUGUUGUGAGGCGCACUGAGGGAUGCCGCACCACAACCUUCACAUGACAUCUGGCAGCGUGAGGGAAAACAUAUCGUACUGGUCAGGUGUAGGUUGAUCGUCAAUCUCUGCUCUGUAUUGUUGGUGGAAGGAGGUUAAUAAAUCUGGUGGGGAGGAGGCCGACAGUCUGACCCUAGCGGCCCGGAGGUGCCGAGUGUACAGUACGUCUUCAUGAGAACACGAACCAGGGGUGUUGUCGCUGAGGUUAAGUGUACCUGCCCAUUGAGCCACGGCCACCUAGAUAAGAUCCAUCAUGUUGACUCUCCUUGGAGUGGAGGCUGCCCUGGGAAGAAGGUGAGGAACAACAGUGAUGGCAAUUGUCUGAAGAAUGACGCCAUGUGUUAGAAGAGGUUGUUACCUAUCUAGAAUACCUUGAUGAAGCCUGAAAAGGUGGCAAGUAUUAAAGUUAUAGGUACAGUAUGUAAAGUAUGUUGAGUUUGUGUUAGAAAAGAGGAGUUCAGAACCAGUUUUUUGCUGAAGGGUUAGUGCAAGCUUUGGGGACUUGUCUAUCUUCCAUUUUUGUAGUGGGUAGUAUGGAAGUUGGCUGAAACAGGAUGAUAAUGAUUCCUGGAAUCCAGUAUAACCAAUUCAUAUCAUGGGGAAGGCUUACGCAGGGUAAUGUGACAGUAGGAUUCAUUACCUUCUAAUUUAAAUGGAGACUUUAGUUUUUCAAGUUCCCUUUUUAAGACUUUAUUGUAACUUUAUUACAAAUUAGUUCCAGCCAUUAGUAUACUGUAGAGAGGUUUACCUAAGUUUUCAAACUCAGACUUAAUGGUGUAAUGCAUGAGUCAUUAAGUUUGGGCUGGGACAUAACAUGGGGUUUCAGAGUAAGUAAUUUAUUUCUUCACAUUCCUUAGUGAUAAAUGCAUCUUUAUGAAUGUCUUUAAUAGUAAGGCUGCUUAGUCCAGGUUCCAUGUCUAUGACAACAUCCUCAUUAAGCCUACCAGGGUUGAUAUGUUAAUAUAUUUUGGGCAUGCCAGUUACCUCUCUCUCUUUCCAUCACCCCAGUGGCCUCUUAUGAGGGGGUUUGAUGCAACAGUUGCCCUUUGGAGGCAGGAGGUGUGUAAGGUAAUUACUGUCAGCAAGGAUAAAUAAUAUGUUCAAAUUUUCCAUUUCCCUUCUUGGCUCUGUUGCUGACCUUGUUUCUCUCCUUUAACAGGCCAUUAAAAACCAAAUUUGAAACUUUGGGCAGACUCUGUCUCAGUUACUGAUGGAGCCUCACCCUCCUUGCUCCUGAGCUAUGCAUUUGAUGAUCAGUGGUGAGGGAGACUCCCGAACACCCCGGCCACCACUCAUAGGUCAAGAAACCGAGGUCACGGCCCCUGUCAUUUCUGCCGAGCUCGGCCGUGUUGUCUCUGAUUCUAUUGGUCAGAGUCACCUGAUGCAUAUUAGAAACAUCAUUGAAGACGGGUCCUACAGUUGGUGUUUCACAACUUUUUGGACUUCCUUUGGAUGAAGAUAUGUGUCAACACCUCAUGGGCCAGUAGAACAAGAUCCUUAUUGUAUUGUGACUAGUUUGUAGAGUUUGUUGGUUUUAAUUAUGUUCUCACUUUGUUUUGUUUUAUCAGUUAGCAAUUGUUUGUAAUUGAGAGGAAUGACUGAUGAAAAUUUUGAACUCAAACCAGUGAAAGUUUGUAUUCUGUAUAAGGCUGUCUCGAAACUGUUAUGAAGAUGGUGGAUAUUAACAUCAAGGAAUGUGUAGAAUAUUGUCCUUUUCUAAUUCACAAGUAAAUUUGAUGUCAGUUUUGUAUUUUAGAUUCUCAUUUAUCUUGAGGGAAGAAGCUGUCUAUUGUAGAAAAGCUGAAGGGUAAUAUUAGGUCCCUGGUAAAACGGAUUUUGUCGUGAGAAGCUCCGCACACAGUGUACAGUAUUGCCAUUCUAGGCACUUGACAUCAAUUUAAUUAUUACCUUAUAAAGCUGGAACACUGAUUAGAUUCUAAAAGUUAAUCCUAGGAAGUAAUAUAAGCUCAUAACUUAAUUUUCAUAAGCCAAUGUGUACUGUAUAGUGAAUGAGACCAAUAAAUAUAUGUGAAAUUCCUAAUCAAGUCCUCCACACCCACACCCCCCUCCAC